UAUUGCACAAUGGGCGCAAGCCUGAUGCAGCGACGCCGCGUGAGUGAAGAAGUAUCUCGGUANGUAAAGCUCUAUCAGCAGGGAANNCANNNANGGUACCUGACUCAGAAGCCCCGGCUAACUACGUGCCNNNAGACGCGGUAAUACGUAGGGGGCAAGCGUUAUCCGGAUUUACUGGGUGUAAAGGGAGCGUAGACGGCGACGCAAGUCUGGAGUGAAAGCCCGGGGCCCAACCCCGGGACUGCUUUGGAAACUGUGCUGCUGGAGUGCAGGAGAGGUAAGUGGAAUUCCUAGUGUAGCAGUGGAAUGCGUAGAUAUUAGGAGGAACACCAGUGGCGAAGGCGGCUUACUGGACUGUAACUGACGUUGAGGCUCGAAAGCGUGGGGAGCAAACAG
rnacentral:rRNA from 1 species